UGGGUUGUUGUGGCCACACUGAAGUACACAGCAUUUUGCAAUAUUCAGUGGUAUUUGCCACUUCUCGCUCCAUUGGAAAAUUAAAUUAAGUUGGUCUUGCAAGUCCGUGACAAGUGGGUUAGCAAAUAACUUAAUAUCAUCCGCAUAUGCUGAAUAGCUGUCUAGUGAAAACAAUAAAUCUGCUGUAUAUAACAAGAAUAAAAUUGGUCCAAGAACUGAUCCCUGUGGGACCCCACUUAAUACUGGUUUAGAGUACGAAAAUUUACCGCAGACUUUUACACAAUAGUUUCGAUUUGAUAGAAACGCUCGGAUCCAAUCAAGCAAAUUUCCUGUUACACCAUAGGACUCCAGUUUUGCUAACAAGAGAUUGUGAGGGACUUUAUCAAAGGCUUUACUAAAAUCAAGAUUUGUGCAGGAUAGCAAAUUUGUGACAACUGACCUACCUGGUAAAAAGCCGUGCUGAUGCUCAGCAUGUCGACGUGAGACUUACAGGUCUAUAGUUAGCAGGAUCAAGUUUAUCUCCUGACUUGUACAAAGGCGUGAUUGUUGCUUGCAACCACUCGUAGGGCAAAGUGCCUUGUAAGAAUGAUUUUCUCAUCAUUUUGGCAAGUGGGCCCGACAACGAAGCAGCACAAGUUCUCAGGAGUUUGGGAGGUAUCUGAUCCGGACCUGGAGCUGUAUUUAAUUUAAUGGCACAGAGUUGGCUUUUUACCAGAUCCGGAGUAAAAUUAAUAUAAGACAACCCACUAAAUGUAGUAGCAAAACUGUCCGCUAAAGUGUUUGCAGUUUCUGUAUGAUCGGAGCAGAGUAGACUUGAAGCAUUUCGUACUAAAGGGACCGACACACGACUAGAGAUAAAUUUACGUACAUGGGAAUAAAAUAGUUUUGGUUUAUUUAAUAUAGAAUUUUCAUAAUUACACCUGGCCAUUUGUAAAUCAGAUUUUAGUUGGUUAGAAAAUCUUUUAUAAGCAGAAAAAUUAUCUUCAGUAGGCUGCCUUUUAAAUUUUUUCCAUAAUUUAGCUUUGUAUUUUAUUUUGUCAAGCAUGUGUUGAUUUAUCCACGGUUUAUCUUUUCUCAGUCGGUUUGUAAACAGUCUGGAAUUUGUUGUAAUGCAAGUUUGUAAAAUCGAUUUAAAAUGUUUCCAUUGUUCUUCCGCAUUUAGUGAAUCUAAACCAUUCCAGUCGUAAGUCAAGAGACUUUCGUCUAUGCGAGUGUAGUCAACAAUUGAUGUUGUUUUAAUUCUUGCAUUUGGCUCUGAAUAUAUCAUAAUUUGUAACUCAAUUUCGAUUUUUGAAUGAUCAGAUGUACCUACAGGAUUCGAAACGUUUAAAGACGAUACAAGGUUAACGUCAGACAAAAUUACCAAAUCAAGUAAUGAAGGACGUUGUUGGGAUCUAAAUCGUGUAGGUUCAGUGACUAUUUGUGACAAAUUAUUCUCCAAGAGCAAUUCAGAAAAUUGUUUUUCAAUGAUUGUUUGACCUGUUGUGUUUUUAGCAGACCAGUCUAUACAAGGAAAAUUGAAAUCUCCCAUGAUAAUUAAGUUAGGAUA